GCGCAAUGGGCGAAAGCCUGACGCAGCAACGCCGCGUGGGGGAUGACGGCCUUCGGGUUGUAAACCUCUUUCGACAGGGACGAAGCUUUCGGGUGACGGUACCUGUAGAAGAAGCACCGGCUAACUACGUGCCAGCAGCCGCGGUAAUACGUAGGGUGCGAGCGUUGUCCGGAUUUAUUGGGCGUAAAGAGCUCGUAGGCGGUUUGUCGCGUCGGCCGUGAAAACCUGCAGCUUAACUGUGGGCGUGCGGUCGAUACGGGCAGACUUGAGUUCGGCAGGGGAGACUGGAAUUCCUGGUGUAGCGGUGAAAUGCGCAGAUAUCAGGAGGAACACCGGUGGCGAAGGCGGGUCUCUGGGCCGAUACUGACGCUGAGGAGCGAAAGCAUGGGGAGCGAACAGGAUUAGAUACCCUGGUAGUCCAUGCCGUAAACGUUGGGCGCUAGGUGUGGGGAUGGGUUCCACCGUUUCCGUGCCGUAGCUAACGCAUUAAGCGCCCCGCCUGGGGAGUACGGCCGCAAGGCU
rnacentral:rRNA from 1 species